GACGAACGCUGGCGGCGUGCUUAACACAUGCAAGUCGAACGGUGAAGCUCCAGCUUGCUGGUGUGGAUCAGUGGCGAACGGGUGAGUAACACGUGAGCAACCUGCCCCUGACUCUGGAAUAAGCGCUGGAAACGGCGUCUAAUACUGGAUACGAGAAGGGUCCGCAUGGGCACUUUCUGGAAAGUUUUUCGGUUGGGGAUGGGCUCGCGGCCUAUCAGCUUGUUGGUGGGGUAAUGGCUCACCAAGGCGACGACGGGUAGCCGGCCUGAGAGGGCGACCGGCCACACUGGGACUGAGACACGGCCCAGACUCCUACGGGAGGCAGCAGUGGGGAAUAUUGCACAAUGGGCGAAAGCCUGAUGCAGCGACGCCGCGUGAGGGAUGACGGCCUUCGGGUUGUAAACCUCUUUCAGCAGGGAAGAAGCGAAAGUGACGGUACCUGCAGAAGAAGCACCGGCUAACUACGUG
rnacentral:rRNA from 1 species